GACGAACGCUGGCGGCGUGCCUAAUACAUGCAAGUAGAACGCUGAAGGAGGAGCUUGCUCUUCUGGAUGAGUUGCGAACGGGUGAGUAACGCGUAGGUAACCUGCCUGGUAGCGGGGGAUAACUAUUGGAAACGAUAGCUAAUACCGCAUAAGAGUAGAUGUUGCAUGACAUUUACUUAAAAGGUGCAAUUGCAUCACUACCAGAUGGACCUGCGUUGUAUUAGCUAGUUGGUGGGGUAACGGCUUACCAAGGCGACGAUACAUAGCCGACCUGAGAGGGUGAUCGGCCACACUGGGACUGAGACACGGCCCAGACUCCUACGGGAGGCAGCAGUAGGGAAUCUUCGGCAAUGGACGGAAGUCUGACCGAGCAACGCCGCGUGAGUGAAGAAGGUUUUCGGAUCGCAAAGCUCUGUUGUAAGAGAAGAACGAGUGUGAGAGUGGAAAGUUCACACUGUGACGGUAUCUUACCAGAAAGGGACGGCUAACUACGU
rnacentral:rRNA from 1 species